GGCGGCGUGCUUAACACAUGCAAGUCGAACGAUUGAAGCUGGAGCUUGCUCCGGCCGAUUUAGUGGCGGACGGGUGAGUAACGCGUGGGUAACCUGCCUCAUACAGGGGGAUAGCAGUUGGAAACGACUGGUAAAACCGCAUAAGCGCACGGUGUCGCAUGACACAGUGUGAAAACACUCCGGUGGUAUGAGAUGGACCCGCGUCUGAUUAGCUAGUUGGUGAGGUAACGGCCCACCAAGGCGACGAUCAGUAGCCGGCCUGAGAGGGUGAACGGCCACAUUGGGACUGAGACACGGCCCAAACUCCUACGGGAGGCAGCAGUGGGGAAUAUUGCACAAUGGGGGAAACCCUGAUGCAGCGACGCCGCGUGAGUGAUGAAGUAUUUCGGUAUGUAAAGCUCUAUCAGCAGGGAAGAUAAUGACGGUACCUGACUAAGAAGCACCGGCUAAAUACGUGCCAGCAGCCGCGGUAAUACGUAUGGUGCAAGCGUUAUCCGGAUUUACUGGGCGUAAAGGGUGCGUAGGCGGCUAGGCAAGUCAGACGUGAAAACCAUGGGCUCAACCUGUGGACUGCGUUUGAAACUGUUUAGCUUGAGUGAAGUAGAGGUAGGCGGAAUUCCCGGUGUAGCGGUGAAAUGCGUAGAGAUCGGGAGGAACACCAGUGGCGAAGGCGGCCUACUGGGCUUUAACUGACGCUGAGGCACGAAAGCAUGGGUAGCAAACAGGAUUAGAUACCCUGGUAGUCCAUGCCGUAAACGAUGAUUACUAGGUGUGGGGGGUCUGACCCCCUCCGUGCCGGAGUUAACACAAUAAGUAAUCCACCUGGGGAGUACGGCCGCAAGGUUGAAACUCAAAGGAAUUGACGGGGGCCCGCACAGGCAGUGGAGUAUGUGGUUUAAUUCGAAGCAACGCGAAGAACCUUACCAGGUCUUGACAUCCGACUAACGAAGUAGAGAUACAUUAGGUGCCCUUUUUGGGAAAGUCGAGACAGGUGGUGCAUGGUUGUCGUCAGCUCGUGUCGUGAGAUGUUGGGUUAAGUCCCGCAACGAGCGCAACCCUCGUCAUUAGUUGCUACGCAAGAGCACUCUAAUGAGACUGCCGUUGACAAAACGGAGGAAGGUGGGGACGACGUCAAAUCAUCAUGCCCCUUAUGACCUGGGCUACACACGUACUACAAUGGCCGUUAACAGAGGGAAGCAAUACCGUGAGGUGGAGCCAAACCCUAAAAACGGUCCCAGUUCGGAUUGUAGGCUGAAACUCGCCUACAUGAAGUUGGAAUUGCUAGUAAUCGCGGAUCAGCAUGCCGCGGUGAAUACGUUCCCGGGCCUUGUACACACCGCCCGUCACACCAUGGGAGCCGGUAAUACCCGAAGCCAGUAGUCUAACCGUAAGGAGGACGCUGUCGAAGGUAGGAUUGGCGACUGGGGUGAAG
rnacentral:rRNA from 1 species